rnacentral:tRNA from 1 species
UGACAGCUUAGUUUAUAAAAACAAAUACUUUGAAAGUAUUAAUUAGAAGGCAUUACUCCUCUAGUCGUC